rnacentral:rRNA from 1 species
CAGUCGCCGCGGUAAGACAGAGGAUGCAGGCGUUAUCCGGAAUGAUUGGGCGUAAAGCGUCUGUAGGUGGCUUUUCAAGUCCGCUGUCAAAUCCCAGGGCUCAACCCUGGACAGGCGGUGGAAACUACCAAGCUAGAGUACGGUAGGGGCAGAGGGAAUUUCCAGUGGAGCGGUGAAAUGCGUUGAGAUCGGAAAGAACACCAACGGCGAAAGCACUCUGCUGGGCCGACACUGACACUGAGAGACGAAAGCUAGGGGAGCAAAUGGGAUUAGAUACCCCUGUAGUCCCUGUCUCUUAUAC